UUCUCGGCGGCUCCGCCUCUCUCGGCGCCCAGCCCGAUCCAGCGCCCUUCCCACAUCCCGCCCCCCUCUCCCCGCGCCUUCCCCGCCGCAGCCGGCCCUCGCCGCACCUCGCCGUCGGAGGCGGGGCUUUCCGCGGCGGAGGGCGGGGCUCCUGCGGCGGAGGGGCGGGCCUGGCCGGGCUGGGAUUGAGGUCGGGGUGUGGCCAGGUUGGACGCUGGCGGGCGGGGGAAGAUGGGGAGAGAAGGGAGAGGGCGGGUGAGGUCUGGGGAACCCGCUGGGCCAAACGUCCGCUGGAGGAGAGGGCCGGGGUGGCGUUUGUAGAUGGUUGCUCAAGGGGGAGAGGGAGACUCCUGGAAAUCAGUGCUGCUGGCUCAGUGAGCAGCAUUCGCUCCCUCGGGGUGAGCAGGCUCCUGACUCCUGGGGCGCUCUUUCAAAUGUGGCCAGGCCGUGCCCCUCCCCAGCGUGAGGGCUUAUGACGUGUACUGUUGUUAGGCUCCUCCUGUGAGUCUCGGGGCAUUUCUGGAGUUUCUACCCCUGCCUCUUAUUUUAGGUUAACAGGUAAUCUGCAGAAGCCUGCAGUGCUAGUAGAUCAGGAUGCCCUAGAUGACUGCAGUUUCCUGCUUCACGUUGCCCACAGGACUAGAGAAGAAGCUGGGAAACACACCCGAAAGCAGAGGCGUUGCUGGUGGCCAGGGAUCUUUUUUCCUCCCUCAUUUAACCUUUCUUGUCCACCCAUCAAAGCUUCCCGCCCACACUCCCCACUGUGACACUCCCCACUGUGACACUCCUCCAGUGUGCGCCAUUCGUUCCUCCAGCCCCUCCACAACAGUUUAAUCACCUGCACUGGGGAACAGGGCCAGUGGCUAGCUGUGUUCUGUCUUGUUUUCUGUUCUCCUCCAGACCACAGUUAGAGUGAAUCUUUAGAAAAUCCAGUCUGCUGAACACCCCGAGAUUUAUCAUCACUUCAAAGAGCCUGCGGGCUUGCUGCCUUCCUACUCGCAGUCCUCCUCCUCUCCCGCCUUCAGCGCUGGCUUUGUCCGGAAUUCCCUGGAAUCUCUCCUCUCCCACCAUGACUUUGCUGAAUGUAAAAGUAAUAUCCUUACUUCCUGUUGUUUACACAGCUAAAAUACUAGGUGUGCUAGUAAAGACUACAGGGACAGUCUGGACUCAGCGGCACCAGCGGCCAUGUUGAAUGAUGUCACAAGUCAUAUGGGAGGCAAGGAAGUCAAUGACCAGAGGGGAGCAUGUGUUUGGGAAACACUGAGUUGUCCUAGCUCCAUUGCUGUGACAUCUUUGUAAGAUCACUUUGAACUGAGAACUGACAAGUUCCUGGUAAACCAAGGCAGAGCGGAAAUGCCACCCCACACGUUGGGAGGGGCAGAUGUGGAAUGAGAAAUUGUCGGGGAGGGGGAGACCUGCAUUUGGAAGAGUUCUUGCGGUCACCUAUGCUGUUUUGCCAAAUCCCUGUAUGAUCUCCCUAGGUGCUUCUGUGUAUGGUUAUUCAUUAAAAAUAGUCAGUUUCCAUAGA